rnacentral:ribozyme from 1 species
GCCCCACGCAGGCGCCACCUCCACGUGGUGUGGGGCGGGCAACGUGUCCUCGUGACACGGCUAAGAGCGCC